rnacentral:rRNA from 1 species
UACAGAGGUCUCAAGCGUUGUUCGGAAUUACUGGGCGUAAAGCGUGCGCAGGCGGCUUUGCAAGACAGAUGUGAAAUCCCCGGGCUUAACCUGGGAACUGCAUUUGUGACUGCAUGGCUAGAGUGCGGCAGAGGGGGAUGGAAUUCCGCGUGUAGCAGUGAAAUGCGUAGAUAUGCGGAGGAACACCGAUGGCGAAGGCAAUCCCCUGGGCCUGCACUGACGCUCAUGCACGAAAGCGUGGGGAGCAAACAGG